UACGGAGGGGGCUAGCGUUGUUCGGAAUUACUGGGCGUAAAGCGCACGUAGGCGGCUUUGUAAGUCAGAGGUGAAAGCCCGGGGCUCAACUCCGGAAUUGCCUUUGAGACUGCAUCGCUUGAAUCCAGGAGAGGUGAGUGGAAUUCCGAGUGUAGAGGUGAAAUUCGUAGAUAUUCGGAAGAACACCAGUGGCGAAGGCGGCUCACUGGACUGGUAUUGACGCUGAGGUGCGAAAGCGUGGGGGAGCAAACAGG
rnacentral:rRNA from 1 species